GGUUAAAUCCUCAGAAAUGUGUAACUUUUACUCCUUUUGGUUACUUCUCAAAAAUGAUAACGGUUUUGAUUGAAUUGUUAAGUUCUUACAAACAUGGUAUCCUUUGAUUAAGGCCAUAUUCAUGUAUAUUGUCAGCAUGCCCUUCUUCAAGUCUAUGCUUCUCUAUUCAGAUUGGCAAUUGUAAAUUGUAAUCAGUUGAUAAUUUCAUAAUAUUGUACUCCUGGCUAAUAUAACUCAAUAGAAAGCCCCUUUGCAUGCUUUAAGUGUUUAAUAUAUGAAGAUGCUCAUAGACCGGUUCAAGAAUUCAAUUGAAGAGUAUACCGACUCAACUGACCAUAAUUUAUUUGGCAGUGCUUUAUUAAUUUUCUCAUUAGCACAACAUUUUCAAUAGUCAAUCAUUUAAUUGAGUAGGAUUGAGCUAGAGCUUUUCACUAAAACAUACUGGAUCCUUUGCAGAUGUGUCAAGAGUAUGAAAUGUGUCCCUGUAUCUCCUUUUAUUGUAUGAAUCAAUUGGUUAAAAAGUUUUGCAAACAAAGUAAAGAAUCAACUGGUGCAUCGCUGGAAAAUUAUUAGUGAUGCUUCUGAGCUCUAAGCUGAAGACAGUACCAUGUUAGGGCAAUGACCUUUUCCAUGCUUAAUUGUUUGUGCCACAGAAUUAUAGUAUAGUUAUAAGCAUGUGUGUCAGUGAAUGAGAAAUUGGGAUAAACCAUUACCAUCUUGACCAUCUGUUUGCCAGAACAAAUAUUUUCACUCAUGAGAUCAAUAACCCAGUUUAAUGUUUAAAUUGACUGAUUGCAGACACAAUUUAUGGUUUUUGUUGUGUUUGUUUUUCUAAUGUAUACAUGCGGACCACAAAGAGAUGAAAUUCGUUUUUAAAUAUUGUUGUAACUCAUCAACUGUUACUUAUAAAUCCAAAUGAAUAACUGAGCUACAUCCAAUGAAUGUGAAAGGGAUGGAAAUGUGGUAUGUUUAUUAUGUCUUUUUUAUGGCAUAUGUUGGCACAGUUGCUUUUUAUUGGACGCAAGCAAGACGCAAUGGCUGUUAAAUAAAUUGUAAUUAUGAUGCAUAAAAAUUUUCUUUCCACCUAAUUAGUUUCUGCAGUACAUAAAAGAAGACCAAAACUCCCAUCUGUACAAGAUUUCCAAAGAAUAAAUUUUCCAUUCUUACUAUCAUAUUUUGAAGUUGGGAUGGUCUUUGGAAUUUGUAUUGAAAAUCAAGUUUUGCUUUUAUAUUAACUAAGAGUGAGAUUAUUGGUGGCCAAGUUGAACUUCUAUAUGUCCUUAGGUUUUAUAUUUCAUUUUCAUUUUUUAAUUUACUGUUUGACUACUUACCUAUAUGACAGGUAAAGAAGAGACUAUAGACCAAAAGGAUCAGCUGUACAAAUCAUUGCCUUUGCCCUUAUCAUCAUCACAAGAAGGACAGCAUCAUGUGCAACCAUCAUUGCCCGCUUGUGGUGGAUCAAUUUUUAACGAACAGCCCUUUGCAUAUGGCAAUCAAGGAGCUGAUUUGACUGUGGACCUUAGCAAUCAGCCUUUAGAUUUUGCAUCCGGUGUUAGUCGUGAUCAUGAUCCACACGUGCAAUCCAGUUAUACUGCUCAUCAUGAUUCAGCCGGAAAUGUAAGAGGUCUUGGCCAUGUUGCACCGUUACCUUCUAUUAAUUCCUGGACUCCUGCUGUUGCAACUGGUUCUGUUUAUCCUCCAAUCCCUCCAGGUCUUCCAUCAGGGCCUCAGCAUGAUCCUUUAGUAGCCAUACCUUCUCCUGUUUCUGGACAUGCUGCACCACCAUUUGGAAGCUUCCCUGGGCCGCCAACAAUUCCAUCUGCUGGUGUGCCAUAUGUUCUUGGUCCAGGAACUGCACUUCAUCCUACAGCAGGUUUCCCAGGUGAUGCUUAUGGUGUUUCUAAUGUUUCUGAACGCCCUAAAAAGGCUUCUGUGCCUAAUUGGCUUAAAGAAGAAAUAAUUAAGAACGCAUCUGUUAUCACGAGGUCUUCUCUAGAGCAUCCCAAUGAGGAAACUCAAUCCAUUGACGAUGAAAGUGUUGAUAAAUCGUUUGGGAAGGGUGAUCAAGCAGACAGCAAAAGUAUCGAUUCUUCUAGGUCGACUGAAGAAGAGGAUGAAGAUGAGGAUGAUGAGGAAGCUGCUAGAAAUGCAGCCAUUAAUCAAGAAAUAAAACGUGUUCUAACAGAAGUUCUUCUGAAGGUUACUGAUGAGCUGUUUGAUGAAAUUGCUACAAAAGUUCUUCACGAAGAUGAUCUGACUGUUGAAGUUGAGCACGAUACUGUCACUUCAAAUCAUAAGGCAGCUCCAUCUCCUCCAGAAGUCCCAACUCUGAAGGCAUCUGCAAAGGUUCUAGUUCCUGUUAAAGCAAGAGAGUCUGAAACUGAAGAUGUAAGUGAAAAAUCCAGUUCUGGUGCCCCAGGAAAUGUAUUGGGUCUUGCUAACUAUGCAUCUGAUGAUGAAGAAGAAGAAGAUGAUGAUGAAAUCAAGAGUUCCAGUAUGUCAAAUUUAAGGAAAAAUGGUUUGCUUCAACAAUCUAGCAAUAGCAUUCCAAAGUUUUCACAAGAUAUGCAUGAUGUGGCUGAAAAUGGCAGCUCACCCCUGGAACUUGGAAUGAACAGUGGAGGACAGACAAAUUUGGAGAAUGAUUUGAGCAAAACCAACUCAAUUGAAUCCAAAAGUAAAAUCAGUGCUGCUUUUAGUGAGUUAAGUGAGCCCAAGGUGGCUUCUGGAGCCAUGGAUCUUGAGAUCAAUGUUGAUAGUCGAAAAACCAUACAUACAACUAAUGGGUCUGGAAUGAGGUCUGCUCUUGGAGAAAAUGUUGUAGAAGAUUCUCAAGUUAGGGAAACGAGGAUGAAAUCAAAUGAAGAUAACCGACAUGAAAAUAAAAGAAGUUAUUCUGGAAAAGAUAUUAAGGAGGCACAACAUGGGAGUAGGGUAGAUGAGAAAGGAGAUGGCAAUCGUAGGAGGCAAGAUGAAAUGCAUCUGAGAAAGGAAAAGACAGAUAACCAAAAUGGCUCAAAAGAAAGAAUGAAAGAGAGAGGUGAUAGGACUGGAGAAAAUGCAAAGGAAUCUGAAUCAAGAAAAAGAUCUUCUCAUCUUGAUGUCAAGGAGGAUAGGAAAGAAGCAGAGAAACUUCAAAGAUCAAGUGCCAAAGAGGAUAACAGAAAAAGAGGACGAGUGAAGGAUAAGGAGGAAGAUAGAGCAAGACAUAAACGCGCUAGUGACUCAAGCAGGCAUAAGAGAAGACGUUCCUCUUCAACCAGCAGUAGGGGUAGAAACAGCAAGGACAAUGAUUCAAGCGCUGAAGUAUCAGAUGAUUCUAAGAGAAAGCUACAUUCAAGAAAGCGGAACUUAUCACCUUCACCCGUCAGGUCUAGGAGAAGGUACCCCUUAUCAGCAUUUCUUUUCUCUUAUUUUGUUCUUCAAUUUUUAUAUACAACUAAGGCAAUCUCAAACUAGUUGAAGUCGAUUAUAUCAAUCCUGUUUUGCCAUUUAGUUUCAUUUGAUAUCAAUUCCGCAUCAAAAUUCAAAAUUUGUAAGUCUUUUGAUUCUAUUUCCCUUCGCAUCAUUUUAGGUCUCUCUCUUUCCCUUUUUACUCCAUUCACUGCUAACUUAUCACAUUUUUGAAAUGGAGCAUUCGUUGCUCUAUGAUGGACCUAACUAAGCCAUCUUAAUCGGUCCUCUCUCAUUUAUCCCUAAUGUGUGCUGCAUACACUGUCUUAUCUAUUAUCAUAAUACCAUACAUCUAUCUUAAUCUACUAACUACUUGCUAAGGUUGCUUGCUAGUUGGUUUUCUUUUUGAAUAUUAGCAAGCAACUAGGUUCACGUACUUGGGUGAGAAAUCAAAUGAGGUUGCAUUUGGAUAUACAGUCAAUUGAAAUGAAGGAUUUGCUUUUGAUACAUGAGUUUUAACUUUAUAUCAUGUAGAUUGUGUUUGGUUGAGUAGAUUCAUUGAAUGUGUGGUUGUAAAAGAUUACUUGCUUGAAUGAGAAUUUGAGCACCUACUAUAAGGAUGUAAUUUCAAAUACACUCUCGAAAUUUAGUUUAAGCGUGGGUUUUCCUUAUUUACAAUUAUACAUAUUAAAUUAGACAAUUUGAAAUAAAAAAUUGAUUAAAUUCUUAAUUUCAAAUCUCACUAUACAAAUGGAGCCUGGAUUUAUUUGAAAUCCUGUUAAACUGUUGUCUGACUAUGUAAAUAUCUUAUUUUAGGCAUGUAGUCUAUAAUCCUAUUCCUGUAAAAUUGUUUGUGGCUUCAUGGGGUGGUUUUGGUGAACCUGAUGUUGUUUGGGCGCUUUUUGUUUGGUCAAUGAUGAAUAGAUCAAUUUGGUAGUUUCUUAUUUCAAAUUCUAUAUUAUUUUUUCUGUUCCUGGUGCAAAUUUUGAAUUACUUUUCUUGCUAUACUGUUUCUGUUUCCAAAUGCCUGCAUUGAAAGUCACUUGCCAAGCUCAUCCUUUGAAGUAAGAAAACAAAUAUUGGUGGAGAUGCUUUUUAGCUGCCAUAGGAAUGAAAUUGUUGUUUAUGUAUAUAUAUAUAUAUAUA
rnacentral:misc_RNA from 1 species